rnacentral:rRNA from 1 species
UCGUACGCGAAAGGGGCUUCGGCCCUGAGUAGAGUGGCAAACGGGUGAGUAACACGUGGGUGACCUGCCUUCGAGUGGGGGAUAACGUCCCGAAAGGGACGCUAAUACCGCAUGACAUCCUGCUCUUGGACGAGCGGACAUCAAAGCCGGGGAUCGCAAGACCUGGCGCUUGAAGAGGGGCCCGCGCCUGAUUAGCUAGUUGGUGGGGUAAUGGCCUACCAAGGCAACGAUCAGUAUCCGGCCUGAGAGGGCGGACGGACACACUGGGACUGAGACACGGCCCAGACUCCUACGGGAGGCAGCAGUGGGGAAUUGUUCGCAAUGGGCGCAAGCCUGACGACGCAACGCCGCGUGGAGGAUGAAGAUCUUCGGGUCGUAAACUCCUGUCGAGCGGGACGAACACCUGCCGGGCUAAUAUCCGGGCAGGCUGACGGUACCGCUAAAGGAAGCCCCGGCUAACUCCGUGCCAGCAGCCGCGGUAAUACGGGGGGGGCAAGCGUUG